rnacentral:rRNA from 1 species
CCUACGGGGGGCAGCAGUCGAGAAUAUUGGACAAUGGACGCAAGUCUGACCCAGCGACGCCGCGUGGAGGAAGGAGGCUUUCGGGUUUUAAACUCCUUUUCAGGGGGGAGCGCAGAAGACGGUACCCCUUGAAUAAGCCACGGCUAACUACGUGCAAGCAGCCGCGGUCAUACGUAGGUGGCAAGCGUUGUCCGGAUGUACUGGGUGUAAGGGGCGUGCAGCCGGAUAGGCAAGUCAGAUGUGAAAUCAACGGGCUCAACCCGUGAACUGCAUAUGAAACUGGUUCCCUUGAGUGUCGGAGGGGGAAUCGGAAUUCUCAGUGUAGCGGUGAAAUGCGUAGAUAUCAGGAAGAACACUAGUGGCGAAGGCGGAUUACUGGACGAUAACUGACGGUGAGGCGCGAAAGCGUGGGGAGCAAACAGGAUUAGAUACCCUAGUAGUC